AGGAAAGAGGGAAAGCCUCUAGACACUGAGCUGCAGCCUCUUGGCCCAUCCCCCCCCGAGGGAGCCGGGGAGUUGAGGCUGCGGGCACUCUGUGUCCCUCCCCACGCGUGAUGGCGCCCCGCGGGGAGGGAACAGUGCCCGGGGCAAGGAGCCUCUGCGCUCUAGCCAGUGCUCGUUGCUGCCUUGGCAUUUUCUAAGGGGAGGGACUGAGUCUGGGAAGGGGGAGGUGCGCUCCCUCUCGGGCUCCGGCGCUUCGCCUUCAACCCGCCAGUACUUUUAGUAGAGAAACUGAGACCCUAGAGUGGAGAGGUCUUGGCGCAGAUACACUCAGAUCCCCCCAGGAGUCUUACUAUAUAGCCCAUGCUGUUCUUCAGCUCCCGGGAUCAAACCUCCUUAGUCAGCUUCCAGACUAAAAGGGAAAAAAGGUGGAACUGCACAGCUGUGUUUUGGAACAGUCCUUUCAGUCCCUCCAAAACUCGUCGAAGCAGCUCCGGAAUUCCUGGGAAGAGGGUUUUGAUGGCUGCUUGGAGCUCAGGGUGUGGUUUGAGCUCCUCCCCAAAAGCCAGUGCCACUGCCUCAAAGGUAACAUCGUCAUGAGUGGGGCCGAUGCCCCCCGCGGUGAGGACGUGAGUGAAGCGCUUGGAGAAUGAGGUAAUCUCGGAUGCAAUGGUGGCUACUUCAUCAGGUACAACAGAGACUCGGCAAACCUGGACCCCCAGGGAUCGCAGCG